ensembl:snRNA U6 U6 spliceosomal RNA
AUGCUCACUUCAGCAGCACAUAACUAAAACUAGAAUGAUGCAGGGAAAAUAGGCAUGGCCCCUGUCCAGGAUGACAUGCAAAUUUGUGAUGCAUUCCAUAUUUUU